UCGCGUCUUACGACGGCAGUUUCUGCAGCGUUCCUGGCAUGUCAAGGGUAGGUAAGGUUUUUCGCGUUGCAUCGAAUUAAACCACAUCAUCCACCGCUUGUGCGGGCCCCCGUCAAUUCCUUUGAGUUUUAAUCUUGCGACCGUACUCCCCAGGCGGAUGACUUCACGCGUUAGCUGCGUUACUAAAGGAUUUAACUCCUCCAACAACUAGUCAUCAUCGUUUAGGGCGUGGACUAC
rnacentral:misc_RNA from 1 species